UCUCUGUUGUGUUUUAAAUGCAGUGCAGGUUUAUCCACUCUGUUUUUCCACUCUCUCUUUUCUCCAGUGUGCUGAUGUUUCUCCUGAAGCCUUCGUUACUCACUGUCUUUACUCGUCAUUGGUUUUGGUGACGUUUGGUGAUGUUGGUGCGUCUGUGUGACGUCACAUGAUACUAAAGCAGGAGAGGAGUUUAGUAUCUUGGUUUAGAGAGGAACGGGAGAUUAGCGGAUGGAUUAGCGUGGAGUCUGAAGUACUGGGUCAUCGUGGUGAAGAGAGAGCUGUGGGUGAAAGAUAACCUAAUCAUUCAGAGGGUCUCAAGGUAGAGCUGCCGCUCCUCCACAUCAAAGGGAGGCAGUUGACUUUGUUCAGGCAUCCGACUGGAUGCUGCUCUGACUCCUCCUAGACGAGAUUUUUCAGUGAGCAGUGUGGUGCAUGUGUGCGCCCCGGUUGGAGGUGAAGUCCUGCUGCAGUGCGUCUGCCCCGAGCUGCGGCGCCUGCCUCACAAAGUCGGUGUUUUCUGGAGGAACAGAGAGGACCGGACUGUGCUGGACAUCAUCCUCAGCAGCCCUUAUGUUCGCUUCCAGCAUCACCUGUUCAGAGGGCGAGUGCAGAGCUUUCCUCACACCUGUAACCAGGGAAACUUCUCCAUCCUCCUGAAGCACCUGCAGCUGUCAGACAGCCGCAGCUACACCUGCUUCAUCCCACAGCUGAAGCUCAAGGAGACUAUCCAGCUCACUGUGUCAGAUCACUGCGUGUCUGAAGCUCAGAGGACUCCAGGACCUUCAUCUGCAGACUCCAGCUUCACGGCAGGUUACCUUCAUCUCACCACCAGCCUCACGCUCCUCAUCUUCCUCCUACUGAAUCCUUGAUAGGAGCGAGGCCUCGAACACAGACUGAGCUGGACUCUUUCUUUAUUUAAAGACUAAAUACUUUUAUGGUGGCCCCUAGAGACAAAGCACACUUUCACUCCACAUUAAAUGUAAUAAAUAAAUCAUAUAAUUACAUUUAAUGUGGAGUGAAAGUGA